UAUAUAUUUCUUUUAUUUCCUAGCAAGUGAAUGAGUCAAACUUUAACUUGGAAAGAUGAAGCUUACACAUUCUUCUUGUGCCUUUAUCUUAGUGAAUGAAGAAAUACCUUAAAUGUUUUUAAGUAACAUCCAUAUAUUCAUUUGUCUUCUGUUAUUAAAUACUAACUUUCUAAAGAAUUCGAAUUUAACCAAAUCUCACUGUAUGCACAGUUAUGCUCAUGGCACAUGUGUGCAUGUACCUUCAGUUUCCCAGUGAAGACACCCUUCUCACAGCCUGUCAUUGUGCUGACUGUAUGGGUCAGAAAGUCUGGAUUUUGGUUUCUCUAUUAUGUAAAACCUUGUAUUGGGGCAAAUCAAUCAACUUUGAUUCCUCGUUUGUGGAAUAGGGAUGAAAAUGGUUUCCCUUCUUAAUGCAGAAAUUGUGAGACUCAAAUGAAAUUGUGUAACAAACAAUAUAAAUGUAAGAGGUUAUCUUUUAUCAACUAUAAAAUCCAUUCAUCAAUUUGCCAUUUCAGAAUCCAUCUACUAAAAGCUUACAAUGAACAGACCAACCAAAAUAUGUUCUGUCUACAGAAGAGAUAAACACAGGAUCCCAAGAAGUCUCUCCCUAGUCUGGACACAGACUAUACUAGCAGCAUCCAUCUCCCAUCGUACGCUUUAACUAAGUUCACUGUAACAUUUCAUGUGUUUCUCUCUUUUUGCAGAGAUCGUUUUAGUCUUUACAGUUCGACUGUAAACUUCUGGGAGUGAUCACCAUAACUUGUUGCCCCCCCAACUUGUUUUCCAAGAAACUCACUUGUGAAAUGUGUCCAGAUGGGUGGAAGUGUACUCUGUUUUCAGCCUGUCCAUGUGUAUAUUUGAUACGCAGAUCAAAUAAUGAGUGCUGCCUCGGCCAUUGGCCACCUGAUUGGCUGUGGGACAAAUGGAUCCAAUUAAUAUCUGUAGAGAUUCACAAAGGCCUGCUAUUAAUAAAUUGUAGUGUUUCCAGCAUUUUAUGACUUCCAAUGGGACUGUGAGUACUUUCCUCUGAUCAUAUAAAUAUUUGGUGGGGGUUGGGAAGGAAUCUUGGGCUUCCUGGAAGGCACUAUACACUUCUGUAUAUAAUGUAAUUUAUCCAAUAAAAAGUAUUUUGUUACUAAAGAGUAAUGUGGA
rnacentral:lncRNA from 1 species